AUUGAACGCUGGCGGCAUGCUUUACACAUGCAAGUCGAACGGUAACAGGCCUUCGGGUGCUGACGAGUGGCGAACGGGUGAGUAAUGCAUCGGAACGUACCCAGAGGUGGGGGAUAACGCAGCGAAAGCUGUGCUAAUACCGCAUGUGAUCUGAGGAUGAAAGCGGGGGACCGAGCAGCAAUGUUUGGCCUCGCGCCUUUGGAGCGGCCGAUGUCGGAUUAGCUAGUUGGUGGGGUAAAGGCCUACCAAGGCGACGAUCCGUAGCUGGUCUGAGAGGACGACCAGCCACACUGGGACUGAGACACGGCCCAGACUCCUACGGGAGGCAGCAGUGGGGAAUUUUGGACAAUGGGCGCGAGCCUGAUCCAGCAAUGCCGCGUGCGGGAAGAAGGCCUUCGGGUUGUAAACCGCUUUUGGCAGGAACGAAACGGUGUCCGCUAAUACCGGGCGCUAAUGACGGUACCUGCAGAAUAAGCACCGGCUAACUACGCG
rnacentral:rRNA from 1 species